AUUGCUUUUAGCAGUCUCAGUGUGGCGGCAAAACCUGAGGAAAACCAGUAUCUGUUCUUAUCAGCUUUAAUACCUGAUAUGUCCUUUACUUAAACUGAUUUUUGGAUCAGAGAGUUAGAACAGGGCCUUGCUCCAUCCACCCCACAUGUUGUCCUGGUAUUGCAGUGUUUCUAGGAAUGGUGCAUUAAGC